UGGGGAAUUUUGGACAAUGGGGGAAACCCUGAUCCAGCCAUCCCGCGUGUGCGAUGAAGGCCUUCGGGUUGUAAAGCACUUUUGGCAGGAAAGAAACGUCGCGGGUUAAUACCCCGCGAAACUGACGGUACCUGCAGAAUAAGCACCGGCUAACUACGUGCCAGCAGCCGCGGUAAUACGUAGGGUGCAAGCGUUAAUCGGAAUUACUGGGCGUAAAGCGUGCGCAGGCGGUUCGGAAAGAAAGAUGUGAAAUCCCAGAGCUUAACUUUGGAACUGCAUUUUUUAAACUACCGGGCUAGAGUGUGUCAGAGGGAGGUGGAAUUCCGCGUGUAGCAGUGAAAUGCGUAGAUAUGCGGAGGAACACCGAUGGCGAAGGCAGCCUCCUGGGAUAACACUGACGCUCAUGCACGAAAGCGUGGGGAGCAAACAGGAUUAGAUACCCUGGUAGUCCACGCCCUAAAACGAUGUCAACUAGCUGUUGGGGCCUUCGGGCCUUGGUAGCGCAGCUAACGCGUGAAGUUGACCGCCUGGGGAGUACGGUCGCAAGAUUAAAACUUAAAUGAAUUGACGGGGGUCAUAGCUGUUUCCCU
rnacentral:rRNA from 1 species